ensembl:lncRNA
AAAAUGGCCAGAGUCGUGGUAGCUCCCGUGCUCGCGUGACCGUUGGAUUCGAUGGUGUGUGCGCUGGCUCGUGCGUGCUAAGCACUCAGUAAACGUGGGCAGUGUUCUGCCCGUGGAUGCUGUGGAUGUAAAGCGCCACCUGUCACAUCGGGAAACAAAGGACACUGCAGCCAUCAAGCCAUCAGCCACUGCAGCCAUCCCAGACUGUGCCCUGGGGGCAUUCAGGAUGAGAAAGCAGGAGAUAGCCCUAGACAGGACUGCCCAUCUGUCCAUCCCGGAGCCCAGCUCCUAUCUGCCCUGCCUGAAAUGACUCCACUGUCCAGCAGAUGGCCCCAAAUCUCCGACUCCAGCAAUAACUCCUCCUCCUGUCAUCCCUCUGGGCCUAAAGAUGCUCGCUAAUAUUCAACCCGCACAUGACGAAGCUUUCCGUCUCAGCCAACAACUCACAGAGGAAAGGCCAUGCGAGGACACAGCACAGCGAGGAGGCAGCCAUUGGCAAGCCAAGAAGAAAGCGCUUCUCAGAAACCAGACCAGUGGGAAGCUUGAUCCUGGACUUGUAGCCUCCAAAAGGGGGAGAACAUUCAUUGCUACGGUUUAAGCCACCGAGUCUGCGGUGUUUUCUUACAGCAGCCCAAGCAGACUCACAGUUGGUAAACAGGAAGGAAGGGAGGGAGGGAGGAAGAAGGUGUUCCUACUAGUGAUAUCUCUUUAACUCAGUCCAGUGGGACAGCGAUGGAACACUUUAGAAGGGCCAGCAACAGGGAGCCCUUUGCUUCGAUCAACGCUCACAAGAUCCAAGGAGAAGAACCAUAAAGACAGGGUAAGCUCGUCUCAUCCAGCCAGCCCGGCUCAGCUCCCAAGCACCUUGUCUGCAAAUGGACAAGGGUGGGGUGUGCCCCCUGGGGCCGAAACUGCCCAGCUGCUUCAUCAGGGUCCGAACUCAUCAUGUGCAGGGACACACGGAUGUACCCAGUGGGCUCUGGACACCAGAUUUGGGAUGCUUUCCGGGCUAGACGACUUUCCGGCCGGCAGAUGUCCAUUCCGGACUUCACACAAGGGACGUUUUGGCAGGACCGUUGCAGGCUUUGCCCUCCAGACGUCUGAAGUCAUCCUGCCUGUGAAAUCAAGCAUAGAUGUGCUAGGACUCCAAAGACCAUCGAGUUGAAACCAG